rnacentral:rRNA from 1 species
GACGAACGCUGGCGGCGUGCUUAACACAUGCAAGUCGAACGAAGUGGCGCACGGGUGAGUAACGCGUAAUCAACCUGCCCUUCAGAGGGUGAUAACAGUUGGAAACGACUGCUAAUACCGCAUACUGAAGGAGGGGAUUGCGUCUGAUUAGCUCGUUGGAGGGGUAACGGCCCACCAAGGCGAUGAUCAGUCGCCGGGCUGGGAGGAUGAACGGGCACAUUGGGAAUGGGACACGGCCCAGACUCCUACGGGAGGCAGCAGUGGGGAAUCUGCCGCAAUGGAGGAAAGUCUGACGGAGCAACGCCGUGUGAGUGAUGACGGCCUUCGGGGUGGAAAGCUCUGUUAAUCGGGACGCGGUACCGGAAGAGAAAGCCACGGCUAACUACGUGCCAGCAGCCGCGGUAAUAC